AAAUUGAAGAGUUUGAUCAUGGCUCAGAUUGAACGCUGGCGGCAGGCCUAACACAUGCAAGUCGAGCGGUAGCACAGAGAGCUUGCUCUCGGGUGACGAGCGGCGGACGGGUGAGUAAUGUCUGGGAAACUGCCUGAUGGAGGGGGAUAACUACUGGAAACGGUAGCUAAUACCGCAUAACGUCGCAAGACCAAAGUGGGGGACCUUCGGGCCUCAUGCCAUCAGAUGUGCCCAGAUGGGAUUAGCUAGUAGGUGGGGUAACGGCUCACCUAGGCGACGAUCCCUAGCUGGUCUGAGAGGAUGACCAGCCACACUGGAACUGAGACACGGUCCAGACUCCUACGGGAGGCAGCAGUGGGGAAUAUUGCACAAUGGGCGCAAGCCUGAUGCAGCCAUGCCGCGUGUGUGAAGAAGGCCUUCGGGUUGUAAAGCACUUUCAGCGGGGAGGAAGGCGAUAAGGUUAAUAACCUUGUCGAUUGACGUUACCCGCAGAAGAAGCACCGGCUAACUCCGUGCCAGCAGCCGCGGUAAUACGGAGGGUGCAAGCGUUAAUCGGAAUUACUGGGCGUAAAGCGCACGCAGGCGGUCUGUCAAGUCGGAUGUGAAAUCCCCGGGCUCAACCUGGGAACUGCAUUCGAAACUGGCAGGCUAGAGUCUUGUAGAGGGGGGUAGAAUUCCAGGUGUAGCGGUGAAAUGCGUAGAGAUCUGGAGGAAUACCGGUGGCGAAGGCGGCCCCCUGGACAAAA
rnacentral:rRNA from 1 species